GGGUCUGUAGCUCAGUCGGUUAGAGCAGGGGACUCAUAAUCCCUUGGUCGCUGGUUCGAGUCCAGCCAGACCCACCA
rnacentral:tRNA from 1 species